AUCGGUGUGGUCUAAUGGCUAAGACGUCAGUCUCCAAAACUGAAAAUCUCGGUUCGAUUCCGGGCUCCGGUGCCA
rnacentral:tRNA from 1 species